rnacentral:rRNA from 1 species
GAUGAACGCUGGCGGCGUGCCUAAUACAUGCAAGUCGAGCGAAUGGAUUAAGAGCUUGCUCUUAUGAAGUUAGCAGCGGACGGGUGAGUAACACGUGGGUAACCUGCCCAUAAGACUGGGAUAACUCCGGGAAACCGGGGCUAAUACCGGAUAACAUUUUGAACCGCAUGGUUCGAAAUUGAAAGGCGGCUUCGGCUGUCACUUAUGGAUGGACCCGCGUCGCAUUAGCUAGUUGGUGAGGUAACGGCUCACCAAGGCAACGAUGCGUAGCCGACCUGAGAGGGUGAUCGGCCACACUGGGACUGAGACACGGCCCAGACUCCUACGGGAGGCAGCAGUAGGGAAUCUUCCGCAAUGGACGAAAGUCUGACGGAGCAACGCCGCGUGAGUGAUGAAGGCUUUCGGGUCGUAAAACUCUGUUGUUAGGGAAGAACAAGUGCUAGUUGAAUAAGCUGGCACCUUGACGGUACCUAACCAGAAAGCCACGGCUAACUACGUGCCAGCCACCGCGGUAA